CGCUACAUCUGCGCGAGUUGACCGAAAUUGUUAAGAUAAAUUUUGUAAUCGAUAGUUGAAAUUAAUUUUUUUAAAUAGUUUUUAUUUGUCUACGUCGUUUUGUACAAAUUUUUGUUCAAUUAAACUAUAUUUUUUUGUUUUUUGCAUAUUUGUUUGGUCUACCCUAUAUCUGUGGCGGCACCUAUGCACAACCGCUACAGGUAUGAUUGUGUGUAUAGCCUUCUGUCUCGCGAGACGUCUCGUACUUCAACUACAUAGGUCGAGUUUAAUAAAAAGAAUGGUAAACUGUUUGCUAAAUUUUUACCACCACCAUACACAGCUGAUGCAAGUACAGUUCUGGAGCAUUGUUAAAGCAAGUCUUCAACCAAUGGAUUCCUGGAAUUCUUAUAACAAUAAAUUAAUAGGACAAUCCCGUAUGUUUCUUUUUUAUGAGGCGCAUAAAUAGGCCCUAAAAGUCAUUUGUUAAAAUUUUCAGUUGUUACAAUUUUAUUAGGAAUAAUCACCUUUUAGCCGAAUCUCAAUUAGACAGAGGUUAUAUUUAAUAAAAUUAAAAUUUAAUUUCUAUUUAAUCGAAUUGGGAUCGUUCACAAAUGAUGCCACGCAAUUACCCUUAAAAAAGGGACUUCGCCUGCAAAUUUACCAACAUUAAGCAGAUGUCGAAAAAGUACACGCUUAAUAAAUUCAAGAUACACCAAUGUAUUAAAGAUGCUAUAAUGAGAACUCAAAAUGUGAAUGGAUCUGCAAUUGCCAAUUAAAAAAAUAUUGUUGACGCAAUUGGAAAUGUUCUUGCAGGAAUGCGAGAUUGGGCCCAAUUAGAUUUUCCAAAUUGGGAAUAAGUUGGUUUUAUAGUUUCAAGCCAAGUCAUAUCCCAAACUGGGAUAAGAUGGGCUUCCCAAUUGGGCCCAACCUUGAACUUUUCCACAC